CCUACGGGUGGCAGCAGUGAGGAAUAUUGGUCAAUGGGCUUACGCCUGAACCAGCCAAGUCGCGUGAGGGAAGACUGCCCUAUGGGUUGUAAACCUCUUUUGUCAGGGAGCAACGCCGGCUACGUGUAGCCUGCCUGAGAGUCCCUGAAGACAAAGCCUCGGCUAACUCCGUGCCAGCAGCCGCGGUAAUACGGAGGAUGCGAGCGUUAUCCGGCGUUAUUGGGGUUAAAGGGUGCGUAUGCGGAAUGCCAAGUCAGCGGUAAAAUCGCGGGGCCCAACCCCGGUCCGCCGUUGAAACUGGCGGUCUGGAGUGGGGGAGAAGUAUGCGGAAUGCGUGGUGUAGCGGUGAAAUG
rnacentral:rRNA from 1 species